rnacentral:rRNA from 4 species
AGUCGUAACAAGGUUUCCGUAGGUGAACCUGCGGAAGGAUCAUUAU